CUUUGUAGAAGCUCCUCUGGCUCCAGGGCUCAGAGGUAGGGCGUCCAAGAAGCUGAUCUCCAGGGUCAGACCUGCAGGGUGACCCUUUCUGCUGUUUUUCAGUCCAUUUCAUUUCCCUUCAUUGUUGCUACCUUGGCAAACGGGUGGCAUCUCAAUGAUUUUUCGGCGUAAUUGAAUUGCUAUGGAUCUAUGGAAACUUGGCACAAAGCCGCCAGAGUAGCUGAUUGCCAGGGGCGAAGUCAGAUGAGCUCUUAAACGGCACAGUAGCAGAGUGAUGAGGACCGAAACUGUACGUUACAGCUUGACUUGAAGAAAGGGGCAACCUUCUGGUGGUGGAGGGAGCAAGGGCGGGUCUUCCCUGGUCCAGCACAGCUGCUUCUGUUGAAGGGGGGUGGACGUGUGGGCACGUGUGACUUACUGCCCAUGCUUCCUUUGUUAAUUUUUAUUGGAGUAUAGUUGAUUUACAGUGUUGUUGUAUUAGUUUCAGAUGUACCACAAAAUCUUCCUUGAAAGUUUAAACCUGGAGUCUCUUUGCCUUUCAUAACCACAAUGGCCCCCAGCACAUUUGCUGUGUGCCUGUGCGGAUCAUCAUUCAAGAUGUGCUUUUGGCAAGGCAGGAAGGCAGUCAGGGCCAAGUGGUGGCUUUGACCUUUUCAGAGCAAAACUGGGAAGGAGAAGACAGCCAAGGGCUGCGUUGGCAUUGUGCUGACUUGCCCAGUGGUCCAUGAGCAUAUGAGUAUGUACAUCCCCACCAGUGGGAACGGUAACCUGUCCCCUGGUGCUAGAGCCCAGGUGGUGAUGGGGGGGAUGCAGAGGGUGGGGCUUAGGAAGGAGAUGGGGAUGUUUCUUUUGGGUUAAGAUGAGCCCUUCCUCAGUAUCUCCCCCAACCCCUGUGCUAAUGGGUAAACCUAGAAAACCAAUGGUUGGGAACGUGUAGCCUUGGGAAUUGGUGUUGAAAUGCGGCAGCAGCCUAUUGGGGAUUAUAGGAAGGAGGUGCUAUCACAUCGUAGGGAUUUUAAAAAGAUGGCAAUUUGGAUAAUUUACUUAGGUGAUCUUCAAGAUAUUGUCUAGCCUUGAGAAAAUGAAAGAAUUUUAAUUACAUCUUCUUUUGACUCCAUGCCUCCCUAAAUCCAUUACCUGGGGAAGCACAGUUCAGAAAGAAAGUUCCCCAAAAACUCACAAAAUGAGGGAAAAGAUAUGCAACCCAGGGAUCUCCCAUCAAUGAAUAAUUCAUAUUUAAGCAGUUUAACCUAUUAUUAUGGGGAGAAUCAAAUCAUGUGAACAUUUAAUCAACAUAUCUUUUUAGGGGUACUCUGGGUUCAUUUUGCAUGUUGGCUCAGGUACGACAUUAUGAUUCCAUUGUUUUUAUACAUAUUUGUAAGUAUUUUUUCCUUUAUUUUUUAAAUAUAGAACUUAAAAGGACUUCAGACUCAGACAUGGCUGAAGAAUAACCUGUGGAAUCAGAUACACCUGGAUUUGAAUUUGGGGACGGCCACCCCGACGAGGAUACACUGGUGUUGAGACGGAUGGCAAGAAGGAGCCCGCCAGAAUGGACUGUAGGUGGUGACAGAGUGACAGCCUGGAAACUGGGAGACCAACUGGGAGCUGCCGCAGGGAUGGAGCUCAGAGACCACUCAGGAAAUCACAGAGAAGCACUUCAUAGUGAGCAGACAGACUGCCAAGGCAGUAAAGCUCUAGAGUGAAACCUACACGGUCUCCCUGAAGCUCUGAAGACCACUGAGAGAUGAGCAGUGAUGGAAUUUUCAAACGUAACUUCACCCCAUGGUUUUUCGGCAUUUAUUUUAGAAAUGCAAAGCAUCACCAGGUAAUGGCUGUGCUAGGAGUGAGCUCACAGAGGGCUGCUUCCGGGAUGUGCUCACAUGAGAGCAAGGCUGGUGCUGGGGUAGAGGAGGGCACGAGUGUGGCCCACAGUCUCUUGUUCAGGAGACCGGCGUUCUAUGACCAUCCUGACCCUCCAAGUAGCAUUUCUGCAGCGCACCUCAAAGUAUCUGAAUACAACCAAGGUGGGUUUCCUCCUGCCCUGGGUCACCCUCCCAGGACAUGGGGAGUGACUAAGAUUUUGUCGCUCAGAGUUAAGGGAGAGGGGAAGGGACUGUGCUCUGGCCGGUAAUGUUAAUACAGUCAGAUAAACGUAGCCAAGGGGGUUGCAAAGAGUUGGACAUGACUUAGCGACUGAACUACAAUGACAACGUAAGGUGACACGUUACCUCGUAGUUGUCCAUGAGGGUUUUGGAAGGAGCGGGACUCAGCCGGAAGGCGUUGUUCAGUAUCCCCAGACCUAAUUUCUGUGCCAGAGUAGCCCAGUUUUUGUCUGGAUCAGGAAUUUCUAGCAACUUGUAGAGCUGCAGCUUUGCAUCUUCAGUCAGCUGUUUCAUGUCUCCUAAAGGAGAUAAAGAAGAAACAUGACCAUCCUAACGGAUCAGAGACUCUCCACAGGGACCGGUCACUGCCACACAGCUCCCCCUCCCACCCCGGGGGAGCAGUCGCGCUCUUGCACCGGAGAGUCAGCAGCCACCCAGGUGAGUAAGAACAGGCCACGCUGUGGUAGGUCACAGCUGGACCUUCUCCGUGGCAGGACCCCCCGCUUCUGAGAGAAGCCCCUGCCUUUCACAGCACAGUCUGGGUAACGCUGGCUUUCCCUCAGCCCCUUUCAGGGUCAGGACGGAGGUGGCACUGGCUCAGGGCACCUGGUUCUCCCACAGCUCACCUUGUGCCAGCAGAUCAUCAGGCGUAAACUCUGGCUCAUAGGGUUUCCCAUUUAAUAUGUCAAAUACCUGUUGGGAAGAAAAACACGGGGAUGUUACAGGGACAACAGGGAAAUCAGCUGCUUUGUGGUAAGGAACUCAGCCUGUCUUCCUCAGGAGGCACUCGUAACCCCAUAGAUGGAGUGGGAAGAGGAGUCAGUACCCUGGCCUGCAGACAUGUUUGCCCUCUGGGGCUCUGGGCCCAGGAGGCUGUGCCCCACAAGCGCUGUCUGAGCCACAUAGGAAGACCCCACCCAGCCGCACAGAGAGCCAGGCCACAGCCCUUUUGAGGGACAAAGGUGGUCCAGGCCACCCAAGCAGCCACGUGCUGGUCAGAGUCGAUGGUAAAUGACGUUUCCCUGAGAGUUAGGGCAAGAACUGAACCCAUGUCGUGCUGUGAAGCUGUGCUGCCUGGCUGCCCCUCUUCCCUGGUAAAAAGGCUCAUGAGAAUGAGUUUUUUAAGCUUGCUCAGAUUGAGGUGUACAAAUGCUCACAAGGCUUGAGGACAGCCUCUUGGCACCAUUUACCUUUUAACUGAGAGGCCAAAAAAGUCUUAGGAUAAAAGAAAAGAGAACAGAUAACUAAUAGGAACCUACUGUAUAGCACAGGGAAAUCUACUCCAUACUUUGUAAUGACCCACAUGGGAAAACAAUCUAUAAGAGUGGACAUGUGUGUAACACAUGCAGUUUGCUGAAACUAACACAACACUGUAGAUCCACUAUGCCCCCAGUAAAAGUUAACCUGUAAAGGAAAAAGAAACUUCCAUAGCUAUGGAGGCUUUUCUGCAUUCCCUGCAGUCACUUGGCUGCUGACUGACCGGGGUGAGGACUGCGCGGGGUCACUGAGUGGCUUAUCUUUGUGUUCUGUGGUGAGGCUUCUGGGAAGACCAGGCGCUCAACGUAGAGUGCCAUGUGGGCUCUCUGCAGGGUUACUCAGCUCAUGCCACAUGGGCCCUGGGGAGGCGGUUUUUGCCAGGGAGCAGCGCCUGCCCCUCAGGAUUUCAGUUGGUUGGGCUGGAGAUGUGCGCUGCCCACCUCCUCCUGUGGCUCCCUCCCUGGGCUCAAGGACCUGGUAACCGCUUUCCCCUUCAGAUCUUGCGUCCGCAGAGUUCUGAGGAAGGCUUUAAGUCUGUUCUGUUUACACUGAUGAAAACCCUCAGAAGAAUCCCCAUUUCGUCUCACGUUCAGCAGUUACUUACUGAAGUUCAGGCAAACCAUGGCAUGUAUCCUGGCUUCAGAAACUCAGAUGGGAAGGAUUCUGGUGUGAGUUCAGAAUGGGCAACACGCUUUGUGAAUUCUGAGUUUCUCUCACCUAUCAACUCUGAUCUGAUUAGGCAUAUGCUUUUAUGUUCAGAGAACUCUGCUGACCUAGAUCUUUAGCGGAUAGGCUUUUCAAGAUAAAUACAGCUCGUGACAAGCAGCCUGUCUUUUAAAAAUACCAGGUGCGGGCUUCGGGGAGCCAAGACUGAGGAAGACCACUUGCCGCCUAAGCAGCAGCCAGCACGCUGGCCGAGCGGGGCUCACCUGCCAGCUGCUGGCCAUGUCCAGAGGAGUGGUUCCUGGUACCACCCCUUCAUCCUCUCCAUCCUCAUCCCAGGAGUCAUCCAGGUCGUACAGAGGCUCGAAGUUCUCCACCAGGGGAUCUGCUCCUGCGGAGCCAAGUCACACAGCGUUAGAUAAAACCCACAUCUUCUCGGCUCCUAACUGCCUUCAGGGGUCAGAUUCUAUAAAUAUAUAAAACACACUUCCACUGAAAUAUCCAGAAACCGGCUUUUAAAUUCUAAUCUAUCUUGACUGUAAAGGUGACCAAUGAUACCUUUGUAUAGCCAAGGAUACUUUCAAAAACACAGACUUGGACUGACGCUCACAUUUGACUCCACAGGAUAGUUGUGAGAUGCACCUUUAACCUGAGGACUGAGGGCGGUGGUUUACAGGGGCUACCUGGUGGGCUCAGGAGAUGAGGUGCCAUCCCUGGGUCGGAAAGGUCCCCUGGAGAAGGAAAUGGCAGCCCACUCCAGUGUUCUUGCCUGGGAAAUCCCACAGACAGAGGAGCCUGGUGGGCUACAGUCCAUGGGGUCACGAGAGUUGAACAUGACUGAGCGACUCAACAAGGGUGCACCCUUAGUCUUAAGGCCCCAUGUGUUCAGCUUGAUGCCUGGCACCUCGUGUUUCUCAGCGUCUUCACCUGCUUGCUUAAAAGAGCAAAGCUGCUUUCUGUCUAGUGCCAACCUGUUCUGUUUUAUUCCUGGGUUAUGGCACUGAUCCUUAAAUGCAAAACACCAAGAAAACCUUCUGGUAGGAUGUGUAGUUAUUGAAAGGUUAUAGCUUCUAGUCUGAAGGCAUUUCAUAAUCAUAACCAGUGACUCCCCAAACUAAUCAUAAACACUGCAAUCACCAUCUCUCGUUCAUGGGAAUGUUCAACUUGACAAAGGAGAAAAGAGAAGGCUGCUGCUUAUUUGGGAUAUGACGUCAGAAAAAUGUGGUGCCAAAGAAAAGGUUCUUAUAUUUUUCUGGUCUGUUUUUUUUUUUUUUUUUUAAAGAAGGUAUUUAAUCUGCUAUUUUCUUGAAUUUGUGAGGCAUUUAUUUUCUAAAAAUAAUAACCUUAUAAAUAAAUCAAAUAUGCCAGGACAGGCUUGAGAUACCAAUUACAUUAAACAUUUUUGAGGUUCUAAAUGUAUAAGGCAGUGGAGAUUCAAGGAUGAGCAGGAAUAAUUUUCCUAUAUUUCACAGGAUGAAAGGGUUGAAUUGGAACAACACUCUACAUCCUUGAGCAAAGCAGGGGAGAGAAACAGAGAAGAGUCUGGAAGUUCAAGAUGACAAGAUGUGACUCAAGCUCUGCCCCUUACUGGGGCCAGGGAACUGGGAUACAAACGUCUUACCAGUCUGUUUCCUUGGCUAUAAAAUGGGAAUAGUAAUGGGAUUUGUCUCAAGGGUUACUGCAGAUCAAGUAAGAUUAAAUGAGACAGUGUGACUUCCUAGCACAACAGAAGCUAGCAAGUUUUAGGGUUUGGUACAGGACAGUACUCAACACAUGGCCCAUGUGUUUGUUCCUAUCGUUUUGGCUUCUCAGACCUUUCUUACAAAAGGAAGUCUUCAAAUGCUUUAUUAUACCAAUAAACUCUUCCUUCUGAGGACCUGUGAUGGGACCUUAAGGCUGAUAUUGCUCCGAAUUCUACAAGGAAUUCAGUUCAACCUUAGGAUCCCCUGUCAUGGGACUCAACUUAAUCCAAAUCCAAAACAGGUACACUGGAAUUGUACAUCAAAGAAUUGAUGCCUUUGAUCUGUGAUGCUG